GAUCCAUCGUGGACCGAGUCACUACUGCUGGGCAUCCCGCACGCGUGACACAUGCACCUGUUACGUUGUGGCCUAUGGCUAGCCUGCAUGUGCCUACUUGGGCCAUGAGCCUGCGGCUGGCCCAUGCAUGCCUGCACUGUCGGGCCUGGCCUGCACCCCCACUAGCCUCUGCCAGCCCAUGGGCCUCUCCGACGGCCCAUGGG
rnacentral:lncRNA from 1 species